GGUUGAUCCUGCCAGUAGUCAUAUGCUUGUCUCAAAGAUUAAGCCAUGCAUGUCUAAGUAUAAACUAUUUAUACGGUGAAACUGCGAAUGGCUCAAUAAAUCAGUAAUAGUUUAUUUGAUAGUACCUACUACUUGGAUAACUGUAGUAAUUCUAGAGCUAAUACAUGCGAAAAAUCCCGACUAGGUUCGCUUGGAAGGGAUGUAUUUAUUAGAUGAGAAACCAAUACGGCCUUCGGGUCGGUCCUUGGUGAAUCAUGAUAACUUUGCGGAUCGCAUGGCCUCGUGCCGGCGA
rnacentral:rRNA from 1 species